GAUGAACGCUGGCGGCGUGCUUAACACAUGCAAGUCGAACGAUGAAGCUCAGCUUGCUGGGUGGAUUAGUGGCGAACGGGUGAGUAACACGUGAGUAACCUGCCCUUAACUCUGGGAUAAGCCUGGUAAACUGGGUCUAAUACCGGAUAGGAGCGUCCACCGCAUGGUGGGUGUUGGAAAGAUUUAUCGGUUUUGGAUGGACUCGCGGCCUAUCAGCUUGUUGGUGAGGUAAUGGCUCACCAAGGCGACGACGGGUAGCCGGCCUGAGAGGGUGACCGGCCACAAUGGGACUGAGACACGGCCCAGACUCCUACGGGAGGCAGCAGUGGGGAAUAUUGCACAAUGGGCGCAAGCCUGAUGCAGAGACGCCGCGUGAGGGAUGACGGCCUUCGGGUUGUAAACCUCUUUCAGUAGGGAAGAAGCGAAAGUGACGGUACCUGCAGAAGAAGCACCGGCUAACUACGUG
rnacentral:rRNA from 1 species